rnacentral:rRNA from 1 species
UACGUAGGGUGCGAGCGUUGUCCGGAAUUAUUGGGCGUAAAGGGUUCGUAGGCGGUUUGUCGCGUCGGGAGUGAAAUCAUCUGGCUUAACUGGGUGCUUGCUUUCGAUACGGGCAGACUAGAGGUAUGCAGGGGAGAACGGAAUUCCUGGCGUAGCGGUGAAAUGCGCAGAUAUCAGGAGGAACACCGGUGGCGAAGGCGGUUCUCUGGGCAUGAUCUGACGCUGAGGAGCGAAAGUGUGGGGAGCGAACAGG